rnacentral:rRNA from 1 species
CCUCUGACCGAGGUCAAACCCGUCGCUCUGUGUUACCUCUGUCUGAGGCACACGUUAAAGAUUGUUCCGCGUUGUGAGUCUAACACCAGUUGUAUAAACUUUUUACAACCGGUAGCGAUGGAUCCCUUGGCACGUCAUUCGAUGAAGACCGUUGCAAAUUGCGAUAAAGUGAUGUGAUGCGCAAGUCCACCACUUAUACGUGAAUCAUCGAGUUGUUGAACGCAUUGCACCGCGCCCUAAUCCGGCUGCGGUAUGCCCCUUUGAGCGUCAUUGUAUUCCUUCGGGAGUCCUUUUUACAAAAGGACCCGAGUUCGGAGUCCUCGGUCCUCUGGAUCGUGUUCUCUUAGAUGCGUCGCACCGAUCGCCUGAUGGGUCUCUAAUGCCUAAGCGUGGAGUUCCUUCAGAGUCCGAGACGUGCUUGACCGGGUGUUGAGCUCGCGUCACCAAGUCUGCCUCACAAGCAGUACUACAACGCAUGACCUCAUUGGGGUAGGACAACCCGCUAGACUUAAGCAUAUUAAUCAG